rnacentral:rRNA from 1 species
CCUACGGGAGGCAGCAGUAGGGAAUAUUGCUCAAUGGGGGAAACCCUGAAGCAGCAACGCCGCGUGGAGGAUGAAGGUUUUCGGAUUGUAAACUCCUUUUGUUAGGGACGAUAAUGACGGUACCUGACGAAUAAGCUCCGGCUAACUCCGUGCCAGCAGCCGCGGUAAUACGGAGGGAGCAAGCGUUAUUCGGAAUCACUGGGCGUAAAGCGCGCGUAGGCGGGAUAGCAAGUCAGAUGUGAAAACCUAUGGCUUAACCAUCGAACUGCAUUUGAAACUGUUAUUCUUGAGUAUGGGAGAGGUAGGUGGAAUUCUUGGUGUAGGGGUGAAAUGCGUAGAGAUCAAGAGGAACACUCAUUGCGAAGGCGGCCUACUGGAACUUAACUGACGCUGAUGCGCGAAAGCGUGGGGAGCAAACAGGAUUAGAUACCCGGGUAGUC